rnacentral:rRNA from 1 species
UGCCAGCCGCCGCGGUAAUACGGGGGGGACUAACGUUGUUCGGAUUUACUGGGCGUAAAGGGCGCGUAGGCGGACUUUCAAGUCGGAUGUGAAAUCCACAGGCUUAACUUGUGGCUUGCAUUCGAUACUGUUGGUCUUGAGUAUAUCAGAGGAAAGCGGAGUUCCAGGUGUAGCGGUGAAAUGCGUAGAUAUCUGGAAGAACACCAGUAGCGAAGGCGGCUUUCUGGGGUAAUACUGACGCUGAGAUGCGAAAGCGUGGGGAGCGAACAGGAUUAGAUA